rnacentral:rRNA from 1 species
GACAGAGGGUGCAAACGUUGCUCGGAAUCACUGGGCGUAAAGGGCGUGUAGGCGGGAAGGAAAGUCGGGCGUGAAAUCCCUGGGCUCAACCCAGGAACUGCACUCGAAACUUCUUUUCUUGAGUGCCGGAGAGGAAAGCGGAAUACCUGGUGUAGAGGUGAAAUUCGUAGAUAUCAGGUGGAACACCAGUGGCGAAGGCGGCUUUCUGGACGGUAACUGA